rnacentral:rRNA from 1 species
AGAGUUUGAUCCUGGCUCAGAUUGAACGCUGGCGGCAUGCCUUACACAUGCAAGUCGAACGGCAGCACGGGUGCUUGCACCUGGUGGCGAGUGGCGAACGGGUGAGUAAUACAUCGGAACGUACCUUAUCGUGGGGGAUAACGCAGCGAAAGCUGUGCUAAUACCGCAUACGCCCUGAGGGGGAAAGCGGGGGAUCGAAAGACCUCGCGCGAUUAGAGCGGCCGAUGCCUGAUUAGCUUGUUGGUGGGGUAAAAGCCCACCAAGGCGACGAUCAGUAGCUGGUCUGAGAGGACGAUCAGCCACACUGGGACUGAGACACGGCCCAGACUCCUACGGGAGGCAGCAGUGGGGAAUUUUGGACAAUGGGGGAAACCCUGAUCCAGCAAUGCCGCGUGAGUGAAGAAGGCCUUCGGGUUGUAAAGCUCUUUUGUCAGGGAAGAAACACCGGCUCUAACACAGUCCGGGAAUGACGGUACCUGAAGAAUAUGCACCGGCUAACUACGUGCCAGCAGCCGCGGUAAUACGUAGGGUGCCAGCGUUAAUCGGAAUUACUGGGCGUAAAGCGUGCGCAGGCGGUUAUACAAGACAGGCGUGAAAUCCCCGGGCUUAACCUGGGAAUGGCGCCUGUGACUGUAUAAGCUAGAAUGUGU